GCCGGGCACGGUGGCGCCGGCCUGUAAUCCCAGCAGCUCUGGUGGAGGCUGAGACAGGAGGAUCUCAAGUUCAAAGCCAGUCUCAGCAAAAACGAAGCACUGAGCAAUUAACUGAGACCCUGUCUCUA
rnacentral:sRNA from 1 species